ACACUCGGUGAAAAGUCACUGGUACCCACGAGCCUCAGGAACAGAAUAAUUGAGUGGCUGUGUCACGACCUCUUCCGAUAUACACUUUAUCCCCAGCGCCUGUACGUUGAAGCGGCCAGGCAGCUUGUGAUACAACAUCGUGUACUGCGUGACAGAGUGGGCAACGGCUAUGGCUCCUGGCACCGAGCACUGCGCUUUAAGGUCAAGUUUGAGCGGAG